GCAGUUAUUUACUGGCAUACAAAUAAUUUUAGUUUACCACAUUUAAAUUGCGUCAAGUUGGUUUUGUGGCUUGAUAAUGAGGUAACAAAGUCGGCAGAUUUUUAUUGUAUGCGUGAAAUGUUACCCACACAUACAUCCAGACGAGAAUCCUUGCCGCAGGACAGGAUAUUUUUUCCAAGGAUACUCUUAGCCGGAAAACGAGCGGAAAUGAUGCGGAUUUAGAUAUUAUGUAUCGCAAUUUCACACCUCAACUUCGGGCAUAAAUGGGAUAUGCACUUCGUUGGAUGUAUGUAUCAGUAGCCAUAGAACCCGGGGAUAGUACCAGUGUUUGUAAGCUAAACAAAUUUAUUUAGAAAGUGUAUGGCGACAAACAUAUUUACAUACAUCAUGCAACAUUAAGAUGAUUGUAUAUGUAAUAGAUACAUACGUAUGUGCACGCAGCCUUGAAUAAAGCGAAACUUAUGUACUGCAUACAUACAUAUGUAUAUACCGACUUAAUGGUAUCUUAAAAUUUCUUCCCUAAAGCCUUUUUCAUUACGUUGUAAUUUGACAGAGGUCGCUUGUAUAGAUACAUGUAAAUGUGGUUAUAGCGUUACCUUAAAACGAGAAUUUAAUUGUAUAUUUAGAUGCGUAGGAGUGCUCUUCCCACGGAUUUACCUUUUACGCGCGCUAGAUUCCCUCGUAGUCACGUGUAUGCCUCAAUUCGCUUACUAAUUAGGCACAGAUGAAUCGCUAAUGAGUGUUUAAUAUCGCUUCAACCGCUGAUUAAACUGGCGUUGACAGGUUUGUGCAAUCAACUAAAGAUGGAAAGAAACUUGCAAAUAGGUAUGUUAUUAUUCUACAGUUUGUUUAAGGGAAGACGCUGCACGGUGCUUUGUCCCAUAGGCAAAUUUAAAAUAAA